rnacentral:rRNA from 8 species
UAACAAAAUACGACUCUCGGCAACGGAUAUCUCGGCUCUCGCAUCGAUGAAGAACGUAGCGAACUGCGAUACUUGGUGUGAAUUGCAGAAUCCCGUGAACCAUCGAGUCUUUGAACGCAAGUUGCGCCCGAAGCCAUUAGGCCAAGGGCACGUCUGCC